UUGUUAUUAAUAAUUUAAAAAUUAAAGAAUAAAAAUUACAUUGAAAUUGUAGUUCCUCUAAAAAGACAGAAUUCACAGAUGGUGCUGUAACAUAAUAAUGGAUGUCAUUUCAUAAUUCCCUCAAGGAUAUUUGGAUUCUCUUCCCCUUGUGGGUAAGAGGUUAAAAUAUGUCCACUGACCGAUUCUCUGUAAAAGGUGACUAAAUGGGUCAUUUUGUAUCAUUCGGUGCUUGACACUGGGGUCUCAUUUGGGUCCUUAAAGGAAUUGGGAAUGUUGGCGUUCCCAAGUCUGUCAUUAGGAUCUGCAAUGGGACCUCAUACAGACAUAGGACUGCACAGUGGGCACGCCCACCUUGCACCAGCAUCGUCAUCAGAGGAAAAAGCUACUGCUAAAACCUCCCUAUUAAGCAGUGGAGAAGUAGCAGUAGUUUGGAUUCCCUACAUGAAUUUGGAGUCGUUUUUCAUCAUUAUAUACAGA
rnacentral:lncRNA from 1 species